GAAUCCCGUCUUUGGCAUGGAUGACCGGGGCUUUUGUGAUGCGCUCUCGAAGAGUCGAGUUGUUUGGGAAUGCAGCUCAAAAUGGGUGGUGAACUCCAUCUAAAGCUAAAUAUUGGCGAGAGACCGAUAGCGAACAAGUACCGUGAGGGAAAGAUGAAAAGCACUUUGGAAAGAGAGUGAAACAGUACGUGAAAUUGUUGAAAGGGAAACGCUUGAAGUCAGUCGCGUCGGCCGAGACUCAGCCUUGCCUCGGCUUGGUGUACUUCUCGGCUGACGGGUCAGCAUCAAUUUUGCCCCUUGGAUAAUGGCGAGGGAAAUGUGACACCUUUACGGUGUGUUAUAGUCUCUCGUCGCAUGCAAGGGUUGGGAUUGAGGAACUCAGCACGCACCUUUGGGUGUCGGGGCUUUGCCCACGAUACGUGCUUAGGAUGUUGGCGUAAUGGCUUUAAACGACCCGUCUUGAAACACGGACCAAGGAGUCUAACAUGCCUGCGAGUGUUCGGGUGGAAAACUCGUGCGCGCAAUGAAAGUGAAAGUUGGGACCUCUGUCGUGGAGGGCACCGACGCCCGGACCAGACCUUCUGUGACGGCUCUGCGGUAAAGCAUGUAUGUUAGGACCCGAAAGAUGGUGAACUAUGCCUGAAUAGGGUGAAGCCAGAGGAAACUCUGGUGGAGGCUCGUAGCGAUUCUGACGUGCAAAUCGAUCGUCAAAUUUGGGUAUAGGGGCGAAAGACUAAUCGAACCAUCUAGUAGCUGGUUCCUGCC
rnacentral:rRNA from 1 species